GGACCUCAGAGCAUCUACAUCUGCUUGAUUUGGCAGGAAGUAGGAUACCGCAAUCUUGGUUAAAUCAGGGGGAAUGAAGUCAAAGAUGGGAGGUGGAGGAUCAACUCUGGCUCGUACAGCAAAAUUGCACAAAACGAGUGAGAGAAAGGUCUGGAGCCCUGUCAUGUGCUGAUUUCGUUCUUUUAAGACGAGAGCAACAGCCAUGCACAUGCUGGGAUAAUGCUGACUUGUGCAUUUCACAGUGUUCCUCUUGUCAGACCUGGUUACAACAGUCCAUAGAAGCUGGUAUAGGGUUGGACACUUUGUCUGAAGCUCUGUUAUGCAGUUACUGUAUGAGAACAACUCAACAAAGGAAACCUCCGGAAAAGUGACAGUGGUGGUGUUGUUUUGCACAUGUUGCUACACUCGUCGUCCAACACUCUAGCAACACGGAUCAGUACUUCCUUUUUGAGAGAAGGUUCGGCCAUCACAGCCUCAGGACAGUUACAAGUUGCUAUUGCCUGCACAACCUUGUGCAAGUUUUCAUCCACCACGCUCUUCACUGGGCCUAUCGUGAUCUUGCGAACAGGAAGUACUUCUAACACAGGAGACGACUGGCUACAAGUAUCUUCGGGACCACCUAUUAUGUAACAAUUUUUUUCAAUUAUGUAUAUGUAUUAUUAUGUAUAGUGUACGUGCAUGUAUGUAUUAAUAGAGUGCCUAGUAUAGGAGCAAAGACCAAUCUCUUUCCAGCUGUUCCAACAGUGCUCCUCUUCGCUAACGGGCGAGACUGGACAGUGUGAGGACUGGAGUGUAUCUGCUUCGUUGUUUCUGGUAGCUCUGUCGUGCAAGACACUUAAAGCCUCAAGAGAAUCAACCUUUCUCAAGCAAGAUCUGCACAGGUACUCGGAUAGUCCAUCAGAUUGAAGAACUGGAAGGUCCAGCAGCCUGCUAAGCCUUCCUGCAAAAUCUACCUUGAGGCAUUCAGUGCUAAAUACCAUCCUGAAGUUAUGCUGGGACACUAUUACUGUGCUGCAGCACAAUCUGCAACUCUCUACUUCAGACAUACUAUACUAUUAUGCACAACCAUGUGCAACUUGUAUACUGUGAAUUUUCGUGUACAACACCUGUAUGAUGAUUAUUUUUACGCAGA